GGCCCCGUGGUGUAGCGGCCUAACAUGCCACCCUGUCAAGGUGGAGAUCGGCAGUUCGAAUCUGCUCGGGGUCGCCA
rnacentral:tRNA from 1 species